UGUUAUGAUAGUUGGACGUGCUGAAAAUCAUAAUCGCCUGCUUCAAUUUGCGGUUAACAGCUGCUUGCUAUUUAGGUGGUUCAUAAAAGUCUCUUUUGAAUUUGAGGAAUUUAUUACAAAGGCAAGUUGUUUUAUUGUAAUCAGUGGUUGGUGAGUUGUUGGGUGCUGCAGCUGCUAUCCCAGCUUUUUUCGGCUAGUAGGCUGGUGACACCCUGAACCGGUUGCCAGCCAAUCGUAGGGCACACAGAGACUAACAACCAUCCGUGCUCACCCUCACACCUAAGGGACAAUUCGGAGAGUUCAAUCAGCAUGCCAUGCAAUGAGGGAGGAAACCGGAAUACCCGGAGAAAAGCCACGCAGGUGAAUAUAGAAACCCCACACACAGGGAGGCCCGAGCUGGAAUUGAACCCGCUACCCCUGCACUGUGAGGUUGACGCGCUAACCACUAGACCACCGGGCCGCCUGUUCAAUAUCCAUUAUCUUUAAUAUAACCAAUCGUAGGGCACACAGAGACUAACAACCAUCCGUGCUCACCCUCACACCUAAGGGACAAUUCGGAGAGUUCAAUCAGCAUGCCAUGCAAUGAGGGAGGAAACCGGAAUACCCGGAGAAAAGCCACCCAGGUGAAUAUACAAACUCCACACACAGGGAGGCCCGAGCUGGAAUUGAACCCUCUACCCCUGCACUGUGAGGUCGACGCGCUAACCACUAGACCACCGGGCCGCCUGUUCAAUAUCCAUUAUCUUUAAUAUAACCCCAUAGAAAGAAGUCGAAAGGAGUGAUAUCUGCUAAACGCGGGUGGCAAGGAAUUGGCCCGUCCCUCCCAACACACCGGUCUGAAAAUGGUCCUUGUUCCAUUUCACAAUAAACUGGUCCACGGCGCAGAAAUAACGGUGAGAACCUGACUUGCUUUUAUUGAUCAAUAUUAUUAUAAAGAGGCUUUUUUGGCAGGUUUAAGCAUCGACACACUAUAACUGUCAGAAAGGUCAAAACUUCUCUUUAUUUCUCUGGGAUGCUGAAGGGGGACUGCCACGCAAGGCGGCGCGCGUCCAAGCGCGGUCCGACAAAAGGCUGAUGUUGCAGUGACUCAGGAGGGAGUGCGCACGAUGAUUUAUAAUUAAUCUCCGCAUAGAUUAUUAACACUCCAUCUGAAGCGGCUUUGAAGCACUCGCCGGUUAUGUGCCGGCGCCGCGUAAUGUGCCGCGUCGCAUACUCGCAGUCGGCACCUGUCUGAGGCGAUUCCCAGUCGGCCGAGGCACCGGAGGACUGACGGCUAAAGUUGGCUCCGGCAGGGCUUAAUGGGAGAGCUCGUUUUUAAGUGGAUUGAUUUUCGAGCUUGGCGUGUCACUCAGCGUAGGCAGACGAGCCGCCGUAACUGAAUUUGACGUGUUAUUAAUUCUCGGAUAGGCAGGAUGAGGCAUGACACAGCUGUCGACACAAUGACGGAGUUGUGAGCGUCUGUGCGCAAAUAUGCCCAUCCGGCAUUGUUUGGUGGAUUUUCUCUACGGUUACCGGUCCCAACAUGAGGUUACACCCGCAUGCUCGAAUGACAUAUCCUACAUGAGAGCUGUACCUCCCCCACCAUCUGCCUUGACUAUAAAAUGCUCGGCUACGGAUGCUUCGUGCUUCUCCGAAGUCAGCGCUUGACAAGCAUCGCUGCGGUUAAUCGCUUUUCCAUUCAUAGGAAAGGCGAAAGGUAAAAAAAAAAAGUAUGAGAUAUUAUAUCGUUACAUGUUGGAGCACAGGCGGCCCGGCAGUCCAGUGAUUAGCACGUCGGCUUCACAGUGCAGAGGCACCGGGUUCGAUUCCAGCUCCGGCCUCCCUGUGUGGAGUUUGCAUGUUCCCCCGGGCCUGCGUGGGUUUUCUCCGGGUGCUCCGGUUUCCUCCCACAUUCCAAAAACAUGCGUGGCAGGCUGAUUGAACGCUCUAAAUUGUCCCUAGGUGUGAGUGUGAGCGUGGAUGGUUGUUCGUCUGUGUGUGCCCUGUGAUUGGCUGGCAACCGAUUCAGGGUGUCCCCCGCCUACUGCCCGAAGACAGCUGGGAUAG